ensembl:lncRNA
GUGAGAGCCACAGAGCUGAGACCCCCGCAGGGGGCUGAGCCCCCCCCUCACCCCCACACCGAGCUGAGCCCCCCCGGGGUGAUCUGAGCCCCCCAGGAAUGGUCUGAGUCCACCCGACCGACCUGAAGCCCCCCCCAGAAGAUGUCUGAGCCCCCCCCCCCCCCACCCCAUACCAAUCUGAGUCCCCCCAAACUGAGAUGACCCCCCCAGGAGCGGUCUGAGCCCCCCAGGAAUGAUCCAAACCCCCCCCAGACCGAACUGAGCCCCCCCCCCCCCCCCCCCCCCAGCAGAGGUCUGAACCCUCCCAGACAAACCUGAACCCCAGAAAUGAUCUGAGACCCCCUGACCGACCUGAACCCCCCCAGGAUAUGUCUGAGCCCCCCCAGACCCAUCUGAGCCCCCCAAGAGUGGUCGGAGCCCCCCCAGAUCAAACUGAGCCCCCCCAGACCAAUCUCCCCCCCCCCCCCCCCCCAGUAGUGGUCUCAGCCCCACAGUCCAACCUGAGCCCCCCAGGAGCGAUCUGAGCCCCCCCCCCCACCGCUGUCUAUAGACAUAGAGGGACCUGGAGUGGGGUGCAGGUGCCUAUGGGGCCCUAUUGCUCCUAUAGUGUAUAUGGCCCUGUUGGCGUAGCACAUAUGGGGCACGGAUAGGCCUAUAGGUACGUGUGCAGAGCUGAGCAUAUGGGGUUUUUAUUUACAUACAGCCCUAUAUGUCGUCUUAUUUCCAGUGCUGUGGGCAGAGCUGGGGGUGGGGUUUGCAUAUGGGCCAUAUGUGGUCCCUAUAGGGUCCAUAGGCUUCUCAGUGUGGGUAUAUGGGUGCCUAUAGGAUCCAUAUGUGGUCCCUAUAGGGUCCGUAGGCUUCUCAGUGUGGGUAUAUGGGUGCCUAUGGGGUCCAUAUGUGGUUCCUAUGGGGUCCGUAGGCUUCUCAGUGUGGGUAUAUGGGUGCCUAUAGGAUCCAUAUGUGGUCCCUAUGGGGUCCGUAGGCUUCUCAGUGUGGGUAUAUGGGUGCCUAUAGGGUCCAUAUGUGGUCCCUAUGGGGUCCGUAGGCUUCUCAGUGUGGGUAUAUGGGUGCCUAUAGGGUCCAUAUGUGGUCCCUAUGGGGUCCGUAGGCUUCUCAGUGUGGGUAUAUGGGUGCCUAUAGGGUCCAUAUGUGGCCCCUAUGGGGUCCGUAGGCUUCUCAGUGUGGGUAUAUGGGUGCCUAUAGGGUCCAUAUGUGGUCCCUAUGGGGUCCGUAGGCUUCUCAGUGUGGGUAUAUGGGUGCCUAUAGGGUCCAUUUGUGGCCCCCAUAGGGUGCAUACCCAUACAGUGCUGUAGGUCUAGGGGGGGCUCUGGGGGUCCCAUUCCCCUUUUCCCCCAGGGAAGCACGGGGGGGGACGGGGGGGGAUGGACGGAUGGAUUGGGAAACCCCAUUGAGUGUUAACCCCCCCCCCCAGUAAAAAAACAACCCCAAACCCACCAAUUUCUGCCCCCAAAAUGAGCAUCCCCGGGGGGAUCCCCCCCGGCCGCAGGUCCUGGCAGGUCACAGCAGCGAUCUGAGCCCCCCCCAGGAGCGAUCUGAGCCCCCCAGCAGCGAUCUGAGCCCCCCCAGCAGCGAUCUGAGCCCCCCAGGAGCGGUCUGAGACCAAAACGAGCAUCCCCGGGGGGGUCCCCCCGGCCGCAGGUCCUGGCAGGUCACAGCAGCGGUCCGUCCCGACCCCUCCUUGCCCCCCCCCCCGUGCCCUUUUCACCCCACACUGCCCGAGGACAGCCGUGACCCUUUCACCCCCCCCGCCCCGCUCCAUCGCUCCGCCGUCAUUAACGCCGAGCAGCGGAUCCGGAGCCGCUUUGACAGAUGAGAACGCGGGGGUGGGAGGGGGGGGGGG